rnacentral:rRNA from 1 species
GACAGAGGUGCCGAGCGUUAGGCGGAAUCACUGGGCUUAAAGCGUGUGUAGGUGGAUGCCUAAGUACCUUGUGAAAUCCCACGGCUUAACCGUGGAACUGCUUGGUAUACUGGGUGUCUUGAGCCAGCUAGGGGCUACCGGAACAAAUGGUGGAGCGGUGAAAUGCGUAGAUAUCAUUUGGAACGCCAAUGGUGAAAACAGGUAGCUGGGGCUGUGCUGACACUGAGAGACGAAAGCUAGGGGAGCGAAUGGG